GGGCCCGUAGUCUAGCGGUUAGGACGCCGCCCUUACACGGCGGAGGUCCGGGGUUCGAAUCCCCGCGGGCCCACCA
rnacentral:tRNA from 1 species